CGUUGAAAGAUAAACUAGGUUUCUGCUAUAUUUUAGGGUUUCACUCUAUAAAGUCUCUCCACAACUUUUGUCGGAUCGCUUCUGCCGCCGAUCUCUUCCGUUAGCCGCAGCCAUGGUGAAGUACUCACAAGAACCUGACAAUCAGACCAAGUCUUGCAAGGCUAGAGGAUCCGAUCUUAGAGUUCACUUCAAGAACACUCGGGAAACAGCGCACGCCAUCAGGAAGCUACCAUUGCUCAAGGCCAAGAGGUACCUUGAGGAUGUGAUAGCUCACAAGCAGGCUAUUCCUUUCACCCGUUUCUGCAGAGGUGUUGGAAGGACUGCUCAAGCUAAGAACAGGCACUCCAACGGUCAAGGACGUUGGCCUGCUAAAUCUGCUCAGUUUGUUCUUGAUUUGCUCAAGAACGCUGAGAGCAAUGCUGAGGUGAAAGGUCUGGAUGUUGAUGCCCUAUUCAUUUCGCACAUCCAAGUGAACCAGGCUGCGAAACAGAGGAGAAGGACUUACCGUGCUCAUGGAAGAAUCAACCCUUACAUGUCCAACCCAUGCCACAUUGAGUUGAUUUUGUCUGAGAAGGAAGAGUCUGUCAAGAAAGAGCCGGAGACCCAGUUGGCAGCCAAGUCGAAGAAAUCAAGUGCUUAAGCUUUCUUUGUUUUUUAGUUUCUACUUUUUGUGUUCGUGAAAGAGAUUUUGCUCCCUUUUCUCCCAUCUUUGCAAGACAAUGGAUAGAUUUUCUUGGAUUAUUAUUGUUGGUGUUAUGAAAAUUAUCUUUGCGUUUGUAGUAUUUAAUUCUAUCUUAAUAUUUUUGCUAAAAUUA